AAUACAUGCAAGUCGAGCGGACCUGUAUGGAGCUUGCUCCAGACAGGUUAGCGGCGGACGGGUGAGUAACACGUAGGCAACCUGCCCGCAAGACCGGGAUAACGUAGGGAAACUUACGCUAAUACCGGAUAGGGCACUCUCUCGCAUGAGAGGGUGCGGAAAGGUGGCGCAAGCUACCACUUGCGGAUGGGCCUGCGGCGCAUUAGCUAGUUGGUGGGGUAACGGCCUACCAAGGCGACGAUGCGUAGCCGACCUGAGAGGGUGACCGGCCACACUGGGACUGAGACACGGCCCAGACUCCUACGGGAGGCAGCAG
rnacentral:sRNA from 1 species